rnacentral:rRNA from 1 species
UACGUAGGGUGCGAGCGUUGUCCGGAAUUACUGGGCGUAAAGAGCUCGUAGGUGGUUUGUCGCGUUGUUCGUGAAAACUCACAGCUCAACUGUGGGCGUGCGGGCGAUACGGGCAGACUGGAGUACUGCAGGGGAGACUGGAAUUCCUGGUGUAGCGGUGGAAUGCGCAGAUAUCAGGAGGAACACCGGUGGCGAAGGCGGGUCUCUGGGCAGUAACUGACGCUGAGGAGCGAAAGCCGUGGGGAGCGAACAGG